CAGCAGCCGCGGUAACACGGAGGGUGCGAGCGUUAAUCGGGAUUACUGGGCGUAAAGCGUACGCAGGCGGUUUGUUAAGUCAGAUGUGAAAUCCCCGGGCUUAACCCGGGAACUGCAUUUGAAACUGGCAGGCUAGAGUCUCGUAGAGGGGGGUAGAAUUCCAGGUGUAGCGGUGAAAUGCGUAGAGAUCUGGAGGAAUACCGGUGGCGAAGGCGGCCCCCUGGACGAAGACUGACGCUCAGGUACGAAAGCGUGGGGAGCAAACGGGAUUAGAUACCCCAGUAGUCCCUGUCUCUUAUAC
rnacentral:rRNA from 1 species